GAUGAACGCUGACAGAAUGCUUAACACAUGCAAGUCAACUGGAAUUUGGGUUUUUACCUUCGGCUUGGGUGGCGGACGGGUGAGUAACGCGUAAAGAACUUGCCUCCCAGCUAGGGACAACAUUUGUAAACGAAUGCUAAUACCUAAUAUUAUGAUAAUAGGGCCUCCUAUAUUUAUGAAAGCUAUAAGCGCUGUGGCAGGGCUUUGCGUCCCAUUAGCUAGUUGGAGAGGUAACGACUCACCAAGGCGAGGAUGGGUAGCCGGCCUGAGAGGGUGAUCGGCCACAAGGGGACAGGGACGCGGCCCGUACGCCUACGGGAGGCAGCAGUGGGGAAUAGUGGACGAUGGACCGAGAGUCUGAUCCAGCUAUUCUGUGUGCACGAUGAAGUUUUUCGGAAUGAAAAGUGCUUUCAGUUGGGAAGAAAGUAAUGACGGUACCAACAGAAGAAGUGACGGCUAAAUACGUG
rnacentral:rRNA from 1 species